UUAGAUAACUGGUAGAGAUAAUAUAGGUCCCUCCCCCCCCACUCCUGUGCACCAGUGGUAUCGCGAGAUCUGUUAAAUGUUAGCUACCAAGUAAGUGGACCCUUUGACUUUGCCACAUACCCUCUGCAGAUCCCCUCACUUUACAAAAUCUGCAGACGCAGGUUUGGACUUGGUGGAGAACGUCUGUGCAGCUGUCAGGAUCAUCAUCCGCCAGAUUCCCCCGUCACGAGUGCUGCGGGAGGUCAUUGAGAAGCCGUGACCACAAGAUGACCCUUGAGGUGGACUCAUUUCAUUUGUCCUGGUAUAAUGCCAUCAGUCAUCAUUUUGAAAUAGACUAAGCGUGAGUGAGGGAGGAGCAGAGAGAGAGGGAGACACAGAAUCCGAGACAGACUCCAGGCUCUAAGCUGUCAGCACAGAGCCCAACGCGGGGCUCGAACUCACGAACCGCGAGAUCAUGACCUGAGCUGAAAUCAAGAGUCAGAAGCUUAACCGACUGAGCCCCCCAGGCGCCCCUCAAAUGAGUUUCCAUAAAAGUAGGAAAGACUUUGGUCUGUUGUUGGUAAGCCAUAAACUAUUACUAGGCACCCAGUGCCUCGGCAUAACAGGCCUCUUCUGUUGUCUGCAUCAACCUGCCUUCCCUCAAAAGUUAUAAUUCAAUGAAUAUUCACUGCUCCGUUGUGUUCGUAUAACUGCUAGCCAAGUCAUUUCUUUUUUUUCUUUUUUUUUAAUGUUUAUUCAUUUUUGAGAGACAGAGUGAGACAGAGCAUGAGCGGGCGAGGGGCAGAGAGAGAGGGAGACACAGAAUCCGAAGCAGGCUCCAGGCUUCCAGCUGCCAGCACAGAGCCCGACGUGGGGCUCGAACUCAUGAACCAUCAGAUCAUGACCUGAGCUGAAGUCAGAGGCUUCCCCGACUGAGCCACCCAGGCACCCCAGGUCGUUUCUUGUUCUUGUCAUUCACUUUAUUUUAGAUGCUACCAUUCUUGAUGAUUUCAACUUAAAAGUAUGUCUCUCACUGAGUCCGCAUCUCUCUGCCUUUUACUCCCUCCUCGUUGUGUGCUUGCACACAUACACUUUUCCAUGUACACACACAUACACAACGCCCCCCCACUAAUGGCCCCCCUUCCCUCAAAACAGGAAAAAACGUCAGAAAUUUGUAGCUAAUGAUAAGUAGUCAUUAAUAGAGUUUUUUUUUUUUAUCCUUAUGCCUAAGGUUGCAAACAAAACAGAAUUGUUUUGAGAUUAAAACAA